CGCUCGGAAAGACAGUUUGGUUGGUAAACUACUUGGCCUCGCAAACAUGAUGUUUGUGUUUUACUCCCGGAAUUCCUGCAAAUCAAUUGUGUAUCAAGUCAAAAAGGAGCACCACAUUGGAAGUAUUUCACAGCAUUACAAAUUCCCAAAGCUGCCUUGGCCCAACCCAUCUAUAAGAUGCAGGGUCCAGGACAGAAAUUCACCCUGGAGUUCUUUCCUUAUGCCUUUCCUUAUGCCUUUCCUUACAUCCAGCACUGUUUCCUAUGUGGUGCAGUUGUCAUCUCGCUGGGAGAUAAAUGCUAGACACUGUUGCUGACUUUGGGCCAGAACCGAUAUAUGCAACGACGUGACACAGCACAAAAUUCUGCAGGAAAUAAAAUUCCAAUGGCUGUAAUUCCUCUCACACAAGACUAACUGUGUCAUGUGAUGCUCUGUGGUAACCUCAUGCCUGACACAGGCAUGGGUCAUUACAGCAUUUAAAACCUUUGCAGAGAUUAGAAGGCUGAAAAAAAAAAAAAGAAGCCAGCACUGGGGGGUGGGGGGAGGUUGAAAGCAGCUUUCUGAAAUUGUUCUAAUGCACAAAUAAUGCCUUGCUUUCUUUGACAGCUGUUCAGUAACUGAAUACAGCUGGAGGCAGAGUUGGCCGCCAAGGGACUCCCAUUGGACUCAAUACCAGGCUUUCUUUUCCAGAACACUCUCCAGGAUUCAGACCAGUCCUAUUUAUCUUAAACGCAUUUUAAAAGGUGGUUUUAUUUCGAUUCGUUUCCCUCACACUCUAUCCAUGUUAGAUUCAGUCUGUGGAAGUCUGUGGAGCUGAAGGAAAGAGCUUAACUCUUCAACUAGCUGGUUAUAGGCAGAGAUGUGGUCAACUGGCUUUCAUCAAGACAUGAGAAGACAUUACAGGCACUCAAACACAUGGAUCCCCAGUUGGUACUGCUGGUCAGUCUCCCCCAAACCAUUUGACAGUAACUGUUCAUGUCCCAUUAGCAUGUCCCAUGUAAGAAAAAUGGCUGCACAUGGCAAGGAAGACGGCUACCACCUGACCUCUCUGAGAGGUAAACUCGCGUCAGUGUCUGUCCUCAGAGAGGUUGGCCACAGGAUACCUUACCUCUGUCAGUCAGCUGUCAGUGACUGGGGGGAUAAAAGCGAAACAUCAACAUCUCCAUUUGCAGGUGAAAGUUAUACCCUUUCUAAGACCAUAACACUGUGAUCAGAGGACGAGAAUGUCCUGUUGGGAAACAGAUCUACCCAAGAAGCCAAUUCAUUACAAGAAAUACACUUAUAUGCCAUGCCAUAUUGAAUCAAGAAAAGGACAUCUCAUUACAGAAUUCAAAAGCAUGGUGUCAGGCCAAAAUAGCCCAGCGUAUGUAUGUUCCGGAUCAGAAUAGCCCAGUGAGAGGGACCAUAACCCCCGUGUUAUGAUCAUACUUAAAUUAAGUGGGAAGUAUGUUAGGAUUCCAGUGUUAUGUAGCACAUAACCUACUUCCAACAAUUAAAGAAAGAGAGAGAAAAUGCCCACACAGCACAGUUGGGAAGAGCGCCCCCACUUUCUGUGCUAGCAAGAAUACAUAUCGGAAACGUUCAUAUGGGAUACAGGCUGCUUCACGACGGAGCAUCAGAAAUGGGAAAGGUGGCGGCCAGCCAAGUUCUGGAGAGUGCGAUCAUGUGGUUUUUGUUGUUGCUGUUGUCAUAGUUCCCAACAUGCACAGCGAGUCUAACAAACGGCUCUGAGACGGAUCUGAGUUGUACGUUCACUCCAAAUGUGGGAUGGAGAUGAACACACGCCGCACUUGACCAUGGCAGCAAGGGACAGAACACAGAGCCAUCUUCUUGUGUCCGGCCCCGCUAAGAACUUACGUCUGCCUAGCCCAAGUCUGGUCUCCUGCUCACACCCUCAGAGUGGACUUGCCUUUCUGCAGAGCUAGCUUCGUCUUUCCAUCCUAGGAGGUCUGAUUUUUUCCUGUGGGGAGCACAGUGAUUAUUUAUUUUGAUAGCACAAAAUAAUGUGAAAGUCCAAAAACCAUUAGCCACAUUCUUUUGGUGGCUGAUCAUCUCUAAUAAAUACUAGAACAUUUCUGAUGACGUUAAUUCCGCUCACCCUCUGGUCUCCUACUCUUGUGGGUUGUGUCAUGUACCCAGCUGGUUUUCAGUGGUGACUUUACUUAACACACAUCCACCUGAGGCACAUCUAGAGGUUUCCUAUCGAUGCCAUAGAAUUCAUUUAGCCACAAACGAUUAUUAAAAAUCCUUCGAUUCGAGGGUAGGGGAGAAAGGCAAGAGUCCACUGAAAACAAGAACAACAAAAAGAACCCAGCAAACCAGUCCAUUAUAUCCUUACUAUCAGGAAAGGAGCCACAACAGAAACAUCUGUUAACAAUUUCUUGCAUCUGACACAUAUAUCUCACGUUUGCAGAUUUGGAACAAAGUGGGGGAAAAAAGCAUUCUAGUUGACAAGGCUCGAAAGAAGGUAAAGGUACAUCGUCAACAUGGCAAAUGGUUCCAAGAUGAACAACCUGGCUGAAACAUAAGGACUUGGGUGAGGGCAAGCAAGAGAAAUCGAGUUAGAUUUCCAGAAUCCAUAUGAGAGUGCUGGCUCUGGUGGCAUGUGCUUGCAAUACCAGUGCUGAGGAGGCAGGGACAGGCAGAACCCAGAACUUGAUGGUCAGUCAGCUCAUACCUACUCUGUGGCCCCCAGGCCAGUGAAAGAUCCUGCCUUAAAAGCUCUGGCUCCUACACACACACACACACACACACACACACACACACACACAGAGGAUUUGAUGAACUUCCUGUCCACCUUCCCCUUUUUAGCUAAUGGAGUUCUAUUCUGUAUACAGAAGCCAUUGUCCACAGCUUCCUAUUGAUCUUUCCAAAGAGCACAGAGAAGUCUAAAAGGUAGGGCAGCGUAGUCUGACGUAGGCGCCUUCUUGUCUCCUAUAACUCCUUCCAAUCUCACCGUGCAGUAAAAUACCCAAGCUGUGUCUGGUAUUUAUAGAGUCUUUUCAAAACUCUAAUUUAUUGUCAAGGAAGUUUAGUGUACUUGCUCUGCUGGCAUAGUUUAGUAAACAUUUAAUUAAAACAACUAAUUGUCAACAAGUUCAACUGGUGACAGCAAUUUAUGAACCAAAACCAAUUCUCCAAACAUGGACCUCAACUCCCAAGGGCAGUGUGACAUGUGGAUUGUGUGUGUUGGGGGUGGGGGGAGCGCCUGCUUGCUGUGUACUCUGUUGUCAUGGGUACUAAUCCCAGUCCCAUAUGUGUCUUGGUGGAUCUAGCAAACUGGGAGUGCUUAUCACUCUCGAACUGCCAAGGAGUUAGCCAAGAUGAUCUGCUUCAAAAAAAAAAUAGUGCCAAUGAUCUCUUUUCUGUUUUCCAGUUUCCCCACAGGAGUCUGUUCUUGUUCUAUUGUUACUAGGACUUGAUGACUCAAGGACGUUAAAGGGGCAGGUUGAUGCUAAGGUCCUGUUCCCCAGUUGGUUCUUGAUUUGUCAGUCAAGAAAGCCAGGGGCCAAUUGCUGGAAAGAAGGUACAGGAGGAGGACUUCCAGGUCCCAGGAGGAAAAAGCAGACACAAGGAAGAAGAGAGGAGUUUCUGCUAUGCUUUGGAGGGAUAAGAACACAGCAACCAUACCAUGAAGUGAGUGGUGAAUGAUGUUGACUGCAAAGGCUGUAGACGCAACUACUUUGCUCGUACCUGGGCAAAGAUUGCCAUACAGAGCUGGGGACCGAACCCAGGGCCUUGCACUCGCUAGGGUUAGACUUGGCUCCAGUAAGAAUAAUGAGCCAGGUACUGAAGAGAUGGCUCAGCUGUGAAGACUACUAGAUGUUCUUCCAGAGGUCCCGGGUUCGAGUCCCAGCACCCACAGGACAGCUCACAACUAUCUGUAACUCCAGUUUCAGGGGAUCCGACACCCUCACACACACACAACGCACAUAAAAUAAAAAUAAAGAAUAGUGAACCAGUCCAUGGCCUUAAGGAUGAGUAGGGGCAUUCCUUUUAGAGGCUGCCAGGAACAGGGUACAUAGGACCUACUGAAAGCAUGUUAGGAUCAUGUGGGGAGCCAUUUUAGAACAGACAUAGUGCCACUUGAGAGCAAGGGAGGCAGAGAGAAGGAAGGUAGAGCCUCGGUGACAACGCCGAGCUUCACUUGAAGCCAAGGUUUCGCCUUUGGCUCUUGGUCUCACAAGCCGACACUGCCUUCAUCAUUUAAGCUGGGUUUUAGUCAAGCUUCUUAUUAACUUAAAACCCUUUGGCUUUUCGGUCUCAUAAACCAACAGACACUAUCUUUAUUAUUCAGGCUAGUUUUUACUUGAGUUUCUUAUUAACUUAAAAGAAAACACUUAUGGAGCAUUCCAUCACGAAUUGGGGUGGGGUUCAGAAGGACCCAAGCCUCCCCGGGGAGCUCUGAGUAGUUAAUGGUUGUUGGAGUCAGGGGGGACAUAGUCCUCAAUGCUGUAGCCACUGGUACGCCAUCUUUGCUCAGUUAUGCCCAUGUUCCUGCAGGCAGCCCUCAUUAAAUACAGCGGCAUAAAAAGACAGGAAGGAGGGGGUUGGUGGGAAGAGGAAGGGGCACAGAGAGGAAGUGAGGGGAGAUAUGACCUAAGUACUUUGUGUCUGUCUGUCCGUCUGUCUGUUCCCUCUCCCUCUGUGUGUAUGAAGUUGCAUGAGAAUAAAUGCAUAUAAAAUAACUUUUAAAUACCGUUGUAGGAUACAUUUAGGAUAAACACUCUGUAUUCUACUUUGGAUGGCACCGCAAUGGAUCAAAACAUCAUUUUUCUAUAAACUAAAUUUGCCUGCUAAGUAUUUUUCGCUGGGAAUGUUCGAUGUGAUAGGAAGCUUGGGUGUAUUAGAGAUAGGAUCACCUUACUGUAUUGGCAAAACCAUCUCUUCAUAUAUUAUUCUCUUAGCCCAUUUGCCUGUACCAUGGCUUUUGGUUUUGCAGUUGCAAACGAAGAUACAGGAGAAAAAAAGAAUCAAAGAACCUCCAUGAGAGUCAAAGGGUGAGGGGGGUAGGCACUUGGAUCCCAGAGACUGGCCACCAUUAGGAAGAUCACCUGAGAUUUACACAAGAAACAAGACAAAAUUUCUCAAUUAAUUUGUUAUAUCAUGGAUAUAAAUGCCACAAAUGGUCUCUUACUUAUCCACCCUGAUACAUAUAUAUAUAUAUAUAUAUAUAUAUAUAUAUAUAUAUUUAUAUGCUUACACCUUAAGCCCUGCUGUGUGUCAAUGUCCCUGCGGAGUGGGACAUAACUACAAGACAAUUGUAAAACAAGAAAACAAGAAAGUGGGCAAAAGUGGGGUGGGGUUACCUUUUGUCCUAGUAUUUGGGGGGCAUUGUUUGUUUGUUUACAACCUGAUGCAAGCUAGAGUCAUCUAACAGGGAAUCAUAAUUGAGAAAAUUCCUCACGAAGCCUGGCCUGUAUGCAAUUCCCUAUGGGGAAAAUUGUCUUGAUUAAUGAUCGGUGUGGGAAGGCUCCGCCUACUGUGGGUGCUGGUCCUGGAGAGCACAAAACCCAUCCUGAGCAAGCCCUGGGGAGUGUGGUAGUUUGAGAGGAAAAUGGGCCCUGAGGUGUGGUCUUAAUGGAGUAGGCGUGGCUUGUUGGAGGAGUGUGUCACAGCCGGUGGGCUUUGAGGUUUCCGAUGUUCAAGCCAGUGUCUCUUCCUGCUGCCCGUCAAUCUAGAUGUAGAAUUCUCAGCUGUCCCUCCAGAACCAUGUCUGUCUGCAUGCCCCGUGCCUCCCAACAUGACGAUAAUGGACUACUCCAAACUGUAAGCCAGCCCCAGUUAAAUGCUUUCCUUUCUAAGAGUUGCCAUGGUCACGGUGUCUCUUCCCAGCACCGAGCAAGCCUGUAAGUGGUGUUCCUCUCUGUCAGCUCCAUUUCAGUCCCUUCCUCCAGGUCUCUGGCCUAAGUUCCUGCCCUGACCUCCCUUCACGGUGGUCUGUAAUGUGUGAUGCGAAAUGAACCUUUUCUUGUCCAAGUCACUUUUGGUCAUUGGGGCUAUCACAGUACUAGAUUCGACAAAACAACUUACAGAAACAGCCUAAGGAAAAGUCUUACUUCGGCCCAUGGGUUUCUAGGGUGUCGGUCGGUGGAGGGAGAAGGUCGGCAGGCUGGGUUGGUUCUGUCUGUAUUGGCAAGAUCUUGGAGUGCAGCUUAUCCCAGGGAAGUCAGGGAACAGAGGAGAGCUUGAGCAGGCAGCACAGGAGGGUAACGCUUUCCAGCAUGCCUCGGAUCCAUACAAAUAAAUAUAGCCAGAUGUCACGGCUACGAGAGGAUGGCUUUGGCAAGUCUAUGGUUUCUCCGUACGGAUCCCUCUGUGGGGAUUUUAACUGCAAGGACUUUCUACUGCCUCCACAGUCUUUUUUUAGUGAGAAAUAGGAAAAUCCAAACCCCAGACUUCUAAACACGGUUCUGCGAUGAUGGGUUAAAUUUCCCUAUUCCUAGUUGAUGGAUAACCCCUUAUAUUAUUAACCUCACUCCUGUCUAUAAUCUAGGGGAAUCGUUAACUAGAACAACCAACACCACAGCUCCUUUGCAGAACUUCUGAAGAGAGAUUUAAAGCCAAGCAGAAGCGAAGGGUCUGACCUUGCAAAUGGUGUUCCUCGAACUAUUCACAGGACCAUGAUGGCUGCCGGAGCUGUUGAAAGGGUGCACAUACGUAAACACCUGGAGCAGACAGAGGCUGUUUUCUUUCUUUUUUCUUUUUUUUUCUUCUUUUUCGGAGCUGGGGAUCAAACCCAGGGCCCUGAGCUUGCUAGGCAAGCGCUCUACCGCUGAGCUAAAUCCCCAACCCCAGAGGCUGUUUUCUUAAUGGUGGCUUCUCUCGAAAUGUACCCUAGGAUAAGGUGAGCUGUGAUAGCACAGAGCCCACAGCUCCUCUCUUGGGUAAGACUGCUUCUGCCCUAUCCCCACUGUCUCCACCACUUUCUCACCCACUGUCUCGUUGCCUCUCUGUGUAUGAGGUGUACAUGGGUGGGUACAUAGAGACCACAGCACCUCAUGUCCCACUCUGUCACUCUCUGCCAUCAUUCCUGUGAAUGAAACUUAGGAUGGAGCCACCAAGCCCCAGUGACCCUUCUGUUUCCCCUCACCCCUUACUCCCAGAGCUGGGGUUAUAGGCAUGCCCACAGUCAUGUCUAGCUUUUAUGUGCAUGCCGGGGAUUUGAACUCAGGUCUUUAUAGUUGCACAGCAAAAGUUCUAACUCUUUGAGACAUCUCACCCUCUACCUAUUUUUUAAUGAAUUGUUUUAACAGCUAGGCUCUUGCUGCUGUAACAGGCUCCCAGAUCUUAUCAUGACUGACGCCAUGAUGAGGUACACUUCAGGCCUCAGAACCUGUAUGUAUGUUCCUGUAUGGAACAUGUAUGCAGUCACUAACAUCUGCAAAAUGAGAACACAGAUCUAAUCCAUCAAAGGAAUGGACUAACCCUUGUCUCUUGGCUUCUCUGGAUCUGCUUCUGGUGAACUGUUCUUGCUAACUGUAAUGUGUCAGCUGAGGUGGUUUUGUGCUUAAAAGCUCGCCCUGAGAAAGGCUCAGGACGUCAUGGCAUGGGGAUCCCAAACACCUAGCUUGCCCGCAGGGCAGUGUUUGGUUUUGCUCUCUGGAUAUUUUUAUUCUUGUUGCGGUGAAGGUCUUUUUUGGGGUAUCAGGCCCUGAGCCCUGAAACUCGCCUACAGUAAGCACAUACUUUAUUGCCAAGUUCUACCCUUAGCCAAGAUAAUUAUUCCUGCCUGUGUCGGGGAAUGGCCAAAUACACUUUAUGUCUGAAAGGCCAAGCAAGUUCAGAACCCCACUGCUCUGGGAGACACUGCCUUCCGUGCUGCAGUGGGAAGUCUGUACACGUCUGACUCACGAUAAGGGCAGAAAUAGGCCCAGCCUCCUACGCUGUGAGGAGAAAUCAAUAUGUAUGCUCAGAGAUGUUAUCUCACUUCAGUAGCGUUCUCACUUAUCAUUUAUGGAAGGAAUAUAAAGUUGGACUAAUAAUAACUUAAUUAUACCAAAAAUGCCACUGUAAAAAUCAAUCUUGUUAGUACAUUUGCGCAAAAAAAAAACUUUUUUCCACUAAGAAAAAAAAAUACCAGAUACAUAGAGGAAUUCCAAUUUCAUUUUCAAUUUAGGAAACUAGUGAGUUUGUUGGGCUUGCUUACCACACCAUCUGAGGGGUACCCUAGAGAAGCAUGACUGACCCCCAGACAGUUACAUCACUGAGGUCUCAUGUAAACUGUAUCAUGGAGUCCCUUAAUACGGUUCCAAAUUUUUUAAUUUAAAAUACAUUUUAUUUCACGCGUGUCUCUCUCUCUCUCUCUCUCUCUCUCUCUGUGUGUGUGUGUGUGUGUGUGUGUGUGUGUGUGUGUGUGUGUGUGUGUGUUCCAGUGUGAAAGUGUGGCAGGAGAGACUGUUCAGAUCCCUUGGAUCUGGGGUCACAAGGCUGUGGGCAGGCUGGUGUGGAUGCUAAACUCCAGAGUUCAUGAUUGAGCAGCCAGUGCUCUUAACUGCUGAGCCAGCCCUCCAACCCCUCCACAGCUUUCUAAAUAGAAGGGAAACAACAUGUAGGCCAGUGACAUUAUUAAAAUUUAAAUAGCAAUUAAACACUUCGCAAGAGAUAUGCCCUUUUGUGCAAUGACGCCAAGAGCUGAAAACCAGAAUGCCAAAGUUGUUUGUUUUGUAGCCUGAUGCUGACAAGGGUUUCGGCCUUUUAAAGCUUGUGUUAGACUCCAGAACGCAUUUCUUGUGUGAGAGAUUAACUUGUCAACAAAAGCAAACUUGUACGUUCCACUGUGCUUUAUCUCCGCUUACAGAUGCUACGUUUCCAUGGAAACAAACAACCCUGUGGAUAUAGAUACGCCAUUUCCUCUAAUGUGAAUUACAAGUCUUCAGGAGGCCAGAAGAGUGAACUUGGUGUUCAAGACCCUGCUGACCACGCAUAAGGCCUUGGGUUCUGUUCUUAGCACUGCAUUCAAAGAGGUUUCCAUCGCUGUGAACAGACACCAUGACCAAGGCAACUAUUAUAAAGGAAAACAUUUAACUGGGGUGGACUUACAGGGUUAGAGCUUCAGUCCAUUAUCAUCAUGGCAGGAAGCAUGGCAGUGACACUGGAG